rnacentral:pre_miRNA from 16 species
GAAGAAGCCGUUGGAAAAGCCUCUCCCAGGCUUUGUCUGUUUAAAUAAUUAAGACAAAGACAUAGCCUGGUAAAGGCUAAACUGAUGCUUCUUAU